GAGGGUAUAGCUCAGUGGUAGAGCACAUGCUUAGCAUGCAUGAGGCCCUGGGUUCAAUCCCCAGUACCUCCA
rnacentral:tRNA from 1 species